AUCUUAGCGGCGGACGGGUGAGUAAUGCUUAGGAAUCUGCCUAUUAGUGGGGGACAACAUUCCGAAAGGAAUGCUAAUACCGCAUACGUCCUACGGGAGAAAGCAGGGGAUCUUCGGACCUUGCGCUAAUAGAUGAGCCUAAGUCGGAUUAGCUAGUUGGUGGGGUAAAGGCCUACCAAGGCGACGAUCUGUAGCGGGUCUGAGAGGAUGAUCCGCCACACUGGGACUGAGACACGGCCCAGACUCCUACGGGAGGCAGCAGUGGGGAAUAUUGGACAAUGGGGGGAACCCUGAUCCAGCCAUGCCGCGUGUGUGAAGAAGGCCUUAUGGUUGUAAAGCACUUUAAGCGAGGAGGAGGCUACUGAGACUAAUACUCUUGGAUAGUGGACGUUACUCGCAGAAUAAGCACCGGCUAACUCUGUGCCAGCAGCCGCGGUAAUACAGAGGGUGCGAGCGUUAAUCGGAUUUACUGGGCGUAAAGCGUGCGUAGGCGGCUUUUUAAGUCGGAUGUGAAAUCCCCGAGCUUAACUUGGGAAUUGCAUUCGAUACUGGGAAGCUAGAGUAUGGGAGAGGAUGGUAGAAUUCCAGGUGUAGCGGUGAAAUGCGUAGAGAUCUGGAGGAAUACCGAUGGCGAAGGCAGCCAUCUGGCCUAAUACUGACGCUGAGGUACGAAAGCAUGGGGAGCAAACAGGAUUAGAUACCCUGGUAGUCCAUGCCGUAAACGAUGUCUACUAGCCGUUGGGGCCUUUGAGGCUUUAGUGGCGCAGCUAACGCGAUAAGUAGACCGCCUGGGGAGUACGGUCGCAAGACUAAAACUCAAAUGAAUUGACGGGGGCCCGCA
rnacentral:rRNA from 1 species